rnacentral:misc_RNA from 1 species
GAAAAAAAAAGAAAAAGAAAGAACGCAAUUAGUUUAAGAUAAACUCGUCUUUAUCUUUAUGAUUAUGCACAGAUGAGUGUUCUAUAUAUUUUUUUUAACUGCAUCCAUAGCAUUAAAAAGCUGAGGUGGGUUUGCUACAAUCCAAUUACAAGGAACUUGAAUAUACAACAUUCCAAGCAACUUGCAGAAUUUGCAAAAAAUGGUACCUUAGAUAGACAAGGGAUAAGGGCCCUGAUGGACCAAAUGAUAUCCCAUGAAUGUCCUCAGCUGGAGCAGAGUUUGGAGAGAAUCUAACUCAAAAACACGAUAAGCUCCCUCGCUGACGGCUAGCUGGACUGCUUCAGGACUUCACCAACCGGAGGCCAGAGGGGUGGCUCAGCUUAAACUUUUUGCCGCUCUAUCAACCAUCUGGCUGGGCAUGAGAGUUUUAUAACUAUUGCUGCAACUCCUGCCUUCGACAAACAAUGCUUCCGAUAAACGUCUGAAUUAAGCAUCAUAACUCCUUGGCUAAUUUUGUGCAAGAGACGAGUUCAAUGGAAGUUUUAAUAUUAAUGUUCGAAUUCAGCAUGUUUAAACAUGAGCUAAUAAACAUGG